UUGAAAUGGUAAUUUACAAAUCCUGUCCUAGCUCAGAGUGUCCUCCCUGACAUUGAUUAUCUGGUCACCCUAAAAUAGUCCCUACAUUAAACAGCUCACUACAAAGUCUGUGCACUAUCUUGAGUGACUGGUUUAUGAUUUCAGCAGGACAAUCCCAGCCACUGUGAAGACAAAAAUGAUGGAGAGCUUGGCCACAGUGAAGAAGUUCUGCACGUAGCUGACCAGCUUCACACUCUGGCAAUUUACCAGGAGGAUCAGCACUAGGACAGAUGGAGACGGCAGACAGACUCUUGACGACCAGCACUGGAGGGCUGCAUCCUUGAUAGAAUGGUGCCGCAGCAUAUUCUCCAAUAGUGAGAGCACUGACCGCCGCUGACGCAGGUCUCAGGACGACGAUGGACAUCCAGGA